UACGUAGGGGGCAAGCGUUGUCCGGAAUCAUUGGGCGUAAAGCGCGUGUAGGCGGUUCAGUAAGUCUGCUGUGAAAGUCCAGGGCUCAACCCUGGGAUGCCGGUGGAUACUGCUGGGCUAGAGUACGGAAGAGGCGAGUGGAAUUCCCGGUGUAGCGGUGAAAUGCGCAGAUAUCGGGAGGAACACCUGCGGCGAAGGCGGGUUGCUGGGCUGACACUGACGCUGAGGCGCGAAAGCUAGGGGAGCGAACGGG
rnacentral:rRNA from 1 species